rnacentral:lncRNA from 1 species
UUUUUUUUUUGUCGGCGCCGUUAAAAUGGGUCGGGCGAGCGUUGGGCGCAUACGCCGACCCAAACGCGGAAGCGGACGUCCGUGUCCGCCUGGCCGAACCAAACGGACAAAAAAUGGACGAAAUCACCGUCCGUUUGGGUCGGCCCGUUGGAGUUGCUCUUAGUUAGUUAGAGAUCAUAAUCAUCAUUGUUCAUCAGAGUGAGUGAUGUGCCCCCCCUCCCUUCUGGUUUCUCUCAUUGCCUGCCCAUCUGACUCAGAUCCUGGUUGCUGCAGCACAGCAGCGUUGCCACUUGUGCAGUGCACCUUGUCCGCGUCACAAAGUUCACCAACUUCUUUUUUAAUCUUGAUUAGUCCUCCUGGAUGCAUGCACAAGGUUAAACAUCAUUCUGGCACUGUAACUGUUUCUGUCAUUUUUGGAGAAUUGGUUCCUUAUUAAGGCUCUCACCUUCAAGUUCACGAAGAAGAAAAAGGUGGUGUGCGUUUUUCUGCCGUGUGGAAAUUCUGCUUUGGUCGACGGCGCAACCUGACCGUCAAGACUAAGGGCCUGUUGUGGCUGCCAUAAAAGGUGUGGCAAAUGUCCAUCACAUGUGUGCUAAGAUUUGGCAAAAAAAUUAAGCCUACGACAUGUCGAACUUACCGGUUAAGGGUCUGAGAAGUACAGACGCAAGGUAAACUGUCAAAAGUCACCUCAGAUUGCCAAGAUGAAGGAAUGUUCGGCACAGAGUUUGUUUACCGGUAUGUCUGUCUGUGUUUCUGCAGUUUGUGAAUGACAAGAAAAGAAAGUAACAGAAGCACAUGUUUUAUGGUAACAGGAGCAUGGCGAUGAUGCCAAAGAGGCAUCGGUCAGAACGCACACAAAAAUUAAAAUAGGGUAAAUUGUGAUAACAUUUUUGCUAUUUUUUUAGAAAAGGAGGAUGACCCCGGCCUCUGCAUCUGGAAAAUGCAUGCGGCCACUUUAUUUAUUAUUCUCGAGGACCUUAUAAAGUAUUACAAUAAUAUGCCUGAAUCCGACAUCUUGGCAACAUAUGCCACUACUCCUAAGGGGUGCUAGCUGUGCCAAAUACCCAGACCACUCACCUAAGCCUAUCAUCAAAAGCCAGAAGCCCCAGCCGAGCCAUAUAGCGGGUCUGGAGCAUAAACUGGUCUGACGCACUCACAUGUGUCGUCGGCGCCAUCUUCCACAGGUCCGUCUUCAGAGCAGAUAUUGAGGCUUCUAUCUUGUCAGCCCACUCUGCCAUCGACGCCACCAUGACGCCAGACAACUACCUCCGCCUACGCGAGUCCAUCACCGCGCAUCUGGCGCCGAGUCUCCACUGCGCCACGCCGCCGAGAACCGCCGUCAUCAAUGUGUAGGAUGAAGCACCGCUCCACCAAAAAAGCCGCCCACCGGUCCCUCGAUCCCAUGUACGCCUUCAAGAAUGACGCCCCCAAGGAGGAAACGACACCAACGUGCCGCCGUCAUCCGAUCUACUGAUGUAGGGUUUCCCCCGGAGGUAGCGGAUAGAGGUCUGGAGCUUCUCCACGGCGAUGCCUUCAAGAAGGUAAUGACACAAAAGAGUGCCGCCAAAGCCGGUCUUGGCAUCAAGCUGAGAACAAGGUUUUCACUCGGAUCCGUUCGAAGAACCUCCAUCAAGCAUCGUGUGCACGGGUCGCCCCCGAUCUGAGCCGCCGCACAUCGAGCAAGCCGCUCCGGCCAGAUCAGAUCUGUCCGGAGGGCAAACCACGCAUGACGCCGACCCACCCACCAAGCCCUCCAUGCCGCCACCGCCGAUCCGAGGUAAGAUGGUCCGUCGCCGCAGACCCAGCCGCCGCCGCCGAACGCAGCCAAGGCCGCUGCCCGAAGCAGGGCCGGCCGCCGCACCCGCCACCAUUGCCGUCCUAGGCCGAGGCGGCCGCCGCGCUGCCGCCGGUCAAGGCAGGCCCGCCACACCACCAAGGCCAGAUCAGCCGUGCCACCACACGCCGCGGGGCUCCGCAUCGCCCCCAUGGCGCAGGAGAGAGGAAAGGCCCCCGCCACCGCCGUCGGCCCCCGGGCUAUAGGCCGGCGGCGUCCUUCGGCGGCGGCGGAGGGAAGGAUGAAAGGACGGGGAGCCCUCGGCGGCUAGGGUUGCGAUCCCGCCCUAGUCGCCCGAGCGGGGGCGACGCGGGGGGAGCGGGGCCGACCGGUGAAUCCUUUUGCUAAAUGGGGUAAAACGGAUGAAAUCCCGCUAAAUGGGUAAUUAGUGUAAAAAAUGUCAAAAUAGGGAGUAAAAACCGGAAUUCACUCUUUUUUUAAACUUGUUUCAGGGUACUUUUGCUGUGUAAAAGUUAAUCCAGAAACGAACGGAAAAUCGGUGUCCGUUUUAAUUGGUGACUCCGGUUGGAUGGACCGUGUCCGCAGAUAUUUGAUGCCGUCUAUUCGGUGAUCAGUGUUAGUUAGUUAGUUAGAGAUCAUAAUCAUCAUGUUCAUCAUUCGCAAAAAAAAAAAAUUCAUCAUGUUCAUCAGAGUGAUCGAGGCCUUCCUAUUCCGGGAAUGCUAUCAGUACUGACUCCUGCAACCUGCCUACCCAUCUGUCCUUCCUGAUGAGUUCUGGUUUGUCUCAGAUCCUGGUUGCUACAACGUUGCCAGAUGUGAAGUGCAUCACAACUUUCUAUUUCCAUCUCAAUCCUCCUGGAUGCACAUGGUUCAUCGGUCUGACACUUUAACUGUUACUGUUAUGUUUGGAGAGUUGGUUCCUUUUAAGGCUCUCAUCUUCAGGUUCAGAAACAAGAGUGUGCUUUUUCCCAUUGUGUAGAAAUGUUUGCUUUUGUUGUCAAUGCAAACGUCAAAAACUAACCGCGGAAGGAAUUCACACGAGAGACUUACCGGCUACGGGGUCUGAGAAGUACAGACGCAAGUUAAACUGUUAAAAGUCACCUCAGAUUGUCAAGAUGAAGAAAUGUUCGUCACGGAGAUUUACCGAUCUGCCUGCGUCGUCUCCGUGAGGCUGAAGCUAUUGUAAAAUGACAGCAAAAGUAAGUAAGUAAGUAAGUAAGAAUAUCGUCGACGUAAACCAUGCUUCCCACCUUGAUUGGUCAUGUCCCCAUCAAUAAUUUUGAAAAGAAUGCAUUGCUACAUGAUAUCAGAAAUAAAAGAACGGUGUACAGGUGACACGGAAAGGCAGCAGGCCUGAAGAAAUGCUGCUUGAAGCAGCAGCAACCACAACACCACAUCCAUCCAUCACACCCAGAAGCUUCUAAUGACACAACAGUCCCUCCUCCAUCAUGAUCAUCAUCAUCAGAGAGCUGAGUGAGUGGUUUUGUAUUUCUGCACUGACCCUUGCAGAAAAGGAGAGGCAGAAAAGCACAAGCACCCAACACACAAGUUGGCCAAAAAACAAAACGUUGAGAGGGAUUUGCCUCAUAUCCCUGCCAAAAUGGAGAGAGGGAAAGAUUUUGCAAAAGUUGAUGGAAAGCAUGAGAUGCCAAAGCUAGUGCAAGUCUGACUCAUUUCUAAUUCCAUUGCUUGGUGGAUCCACCACCAUCCUUAAUAUAAGACCUUUUAGCUAUUUCAAAAUAUUGACUACAUACAUACUAAAAUGAGUGAACAUACAUACUAAAAUAUAUCUGGACACAUACGAAUAAGAAAAAGCUAAAAGGUCUUAUAUUAAGGAACGGAGGGAGUAUACAAGAGAAGGAUUUUCUAUUUGUUUAAAGGACUUAAUUGCACACAAGCAAUGCAAAGGUCAAUCUACAAGGUUGGAAAUAAUUAGAGCUGUAAUCAAGGAAAAAGUUGACCAGAUGGGCAAGGCAAGUAAAUGCUGGAUGAGUCACUCCAAACUCAUUUUGGUUUGUCCGGAAAAAUUACACUCGCAAACAUACGGACGGCGCAAGCACCGAGACAGGUUGUAUAUAUAUGCUUGAAUGAAUGAAUGAUAGAUCAUAGAUGUGGAUAAGUAUGUGUGAGAUGCUGCAUGAGCUGACCAGAAAGCAGGAUCCAUGAAGAUUGAAAACAAGUCACUUGACAAUGUGCAUGAUCAUAAUCUGCAUCCUUUUCCCCUGACAUUCUCAGUAUCAACACCAGCACUUAUGCACUACUACCAAGCAUCACCAGCAUACCUCCUCUCUCUGCUAUGUUCUGAAAAAUCCCCAUAAUCAAUUACUUACUUGAAUAAUAAUACAGGCAGUGAAGCUACAGCAAGGGCCAUAUUACACUAGACAUCUGAUGCGCUUGCAUCUUCUAAUACAGCGUACUCCGGUUCGCGGCCAGCUGAUCAUGUAGAGGACCACACUGCAGGCCUUGAUCUUGCAAACCCUGCCAUAGUUCGGCAUCCCGAGCGACCGGCUCGGCGAACUGAAGGGUGUGCUCGCCCCGCCGUGCUGCCCCGUUGCCGCGCUGAGCCGGUGCGCUGGACUGGUUGAUCAUCAAUCACUGGGACGGCGCGGGAGGCUGGUCGUCGGUCAGGUGAACUGUGGUGAUGUCGUGGAUGCUCGACCUCCUUGCCACCCCUGAGCUGAGCCUGAUAAAGUACUUCUGGGCGUGGCUGGCCACCUGCGUCGGCGUCCUCGUCUGCACGAAGUUGCGUGAUAUGUUCCUCCAAUCCCCUCUUCCGUACUUCUUCAGGCCUAAGAGGAACAACCUGGCCAAAAGAACAGAGCAUAUGAUCAGCUUCAGCAACUAGUGUAUGCAUCAUGAAUUCUUGCUGCAUGGCCAUCAAACAUCAUGCUACAUGACUGUCUCGUCAAUUCCUACUGAGCAUACACAAUUUAUUCAGUUUCAGAUAGCAGUUCUUCCAUGGUUGAAUUAUUCUUCCAAUUUGCCAAGUUUUAAAUGCUAGCAAAGCCAUCUGAUGAUGUAAAUCCUAUUGAUUGAUGGUGAAUUCAAGAAAGAAAAUUUAUGUCACUAACUAGUCUUGUGCAUGACAUAGAUAGAGCAGAGCAAUCACUCUCACAAGACAGUGAGAUCAGAAGAACACUAUACUCACCUGUGCUCGUGCUCGGUCCACGGCACCCCCCUCCUCCUCCCCCGUUCCGGCGUCCGCACGCCGUGCCAGUUCCCGCAGCCAACGCCGAACCGCCGUCGGGCCUGGAUGGAGACGGCGUGCAGGCGGCGGAAGCCGCCGAACGGGAGCACGACGGCGCGGAGCAGCUGUUCCGAGAAGCCGAGGCCGGUCCACUCCCUCACGCACGGCGCCUCCCACAGCCUCUCGUCCUGCGCGAGGACCCGCCAGCCCUGGCUGACGCACGCCGCGGCAGCCAGCGUCCGCGGCUCCACCCGCCGCAGCACCUCGAACAUCACGUCCUCCCCCAGAUCCGGCACCUCUCUCGCGUCCCCCGGCUGCUGCGGCGGAGGCUGUGAGGACGAGGAGGAUGCCUCAGCCUGGCUCGAGCUCGAGGUCCGCUGCCGCUUCUUGGCUGGCUCGCUGGAGCCGCCACCGCCAGAAGCGGGAGGAGGAGCCCAGGGAUCACGACCAGCCGAGGAAUCGGAAGGGCACUUCAUGGCGGGGCACCUGUACACACGACUGUCAGGAUCCCGAUGGAUCUGACGAGGAGAGAUGGACAAAAAUCUGAUCUUGACGAGGAUAGAGGAGACGACCAGGAUGAAUUGUAGUAUGAUAACAAGACAAUUUACUGGAAAUUAAAGAACUGAAAUACUACAACAAGAUAAGUAGAUAAACUUUGGCUUUGAUUUCUUAGCUUACCAAUGAUACAAGGAUGGGAGACCUUUAUAUAGAGUCUGGCCGAUGACAUCCCAUGAGAAAUGGGAAAUGUUUUACGCCGGUCACACGAGAAACGUGCGAUGGGGACAUUGGUUGUGAUCGUAGGAUGCAGCCAGCACCACUCUUCUUAAAAAAUAUAGUACACAUCUCAGCUAACCUUAUCCUCUCGCGUCUGUUCUCCAUGGCUCGUUUUGUUUCUCUCAGAGCAUCUAAAGCCGGACCAAUCGUAUCCGUCUCAGACGCUCGGGCAAACCAUCUGGUCACUUACCGGUAAAAAAAAAAAUCGAUCCAACCGAAACUCUCCAACUGCGGAUAAACGGCCGGGCUGACCGGUACCCCUCAUAUCCAACCCAAAUACAGGAUGGAUAUGGGGUGAUCCGGGCAUGCUCGAGCGCGUCCGCUUGACAGGCCCGACCCACCACCGACCCCGCAACUGUCCCACGAAAAUCCCAAUUCGGGCGCCUCGCUCCAAACCCUAGCUCACUCUCUCUCGCAUCAUCCACUCCUCCCCCUCCCUGAUUCCGAUCACAUCCACUAUGAUGACCAACUCCGGCUCGGAGCUCGACUACGAGGAGGAGAUGGCCCUCCGCAUUGCGCUAGAGCGGUCCAAGGUGGAGACCAGCGAUAGCUCCGGAUCUGGAGCGUCGUCGCAGCUCCCGCGUCGACGAGGAGAGGACAAAAAUCUGAUCUUUACGAGGAUAGAGGAGAUGAACAGGAUAAAUUACUGGAAAUUAAAGAACUGAAAUGCAACAAGAUAAGUAGAUAAACUUUGGGCUUUGAAUUCUGAGCUUAACAACGAUACAAGGAUAGCCUCUAUAUAGGGUCUGGCCGGUACAUGAUUCCAUGACAAAUGACGGUAACGCCCUUAUAUUAGAUAAUAAAUUCUUAGUAAUACACCAUUAUUCUAACUAGUAGAAUGCUCGUGCGCUUGCAACUGACUGCAUCGACGGCUUCUUUUUUAUCGUUAAAACACUUUUCUUUUCUUCCUUACUUCCAUCUCCCAACUAAAAAUACUUCUCGGGGUAAUAUGUAAAUGGAUAAAUUUACAAUCAUAUGAAAAUAUCAAGAGCUAAAACACAUAUUUAUCAAAAAAAAAUCCCACGACACAUUCAACAUGAAUGUUAUGUGUCUGACAGAUUGAAAGCAAAUACAAUGAUGUCUGACAAAUUGGGAACAAACACAAUGGUUCACUUCUUCACCACCAAAUCUUAUUUAUAUUUCAGAACACGGUUGUCCUAUCAGUGUUUACCUGCAAAAUCUCCCUUCCCUUCUUUCGUCCCUUCCUCUCUGCCUGCCNNNNNNNNNNNNNNNNNNNNNNNNNNNNNNNNNNNNNNNNNNNNNNNNNNNNNNNNNNNNNNNNNNNNNNNNNNNNNNNNNNNNNNNNNNNNNNNNNNNNNNNNNNNNNNNNNNNNNNNNNNNNNNNNNNNNNNNNNNNNNNNNNNNNNNNNNNNNNNNNNNNNNNNNNNNNNNNNNNNNNNNNNNNNNNNNNNNNNNNNNNNNNNNNNNNNNNNNNNNNNNNNNNNNNNNNNNNNNNNNNNNNNNNNNNNNNNNNNNNNNNNNNNNNNNNNNNNNNNNNNNNNNNNNNNNNNNNNNNNNNNNNNNNNNNNNNNNNNNNNNNNNUCUCCCUCCCUCCCUCACUCACUCACUCACUCACUCUAUCUAUCUAUCUAUCUAUCUAUCUAUCUAUCUCUUUGGAUCACAAGUGUGUUGCCUUCUCAAGAAGGCUCCAACGCUCUAUUAGUUGCCUCGUCAGUUGGUCAUCAUUUUUGUUAUUGGUGGCGACGAUGGCAAUGACCAGGGCCGGCCCUGACACGGUAGGGGUCGUGGUGCAAGAUGACAGACCGGGACCUCUGUGUAUAUACAACUAGUUACAGAAGUAUUGGGUUGUUCUUCAGCAAUUGCUACUUGGUAGAGCUAGUUCGCGAGAAGUUCUAUCAUAACCUGCACUUAUACUCACUUUUUUGUCAAUGGCUCGCUUUUGGGAUUCUUCGAAUUCAUCUGCUCACUUUCUCAUUAUGAUAACCAAGCAUAUACUUUCUAGAUGAAAUAGAACAAAAACAGUACAAUACUUAUGGUAUGAAAUUAAAAAAAAACACUUGGAUGCCUUUUCGAAUCCUUAUUUUUCUAAGUCUUUGAUGAAUUGGGAUUAUGGGAGACUAGAUGGAAUCAUAUCGAAUGAAGGGAAACAAAUAAAUCUAGGUCUAAUAGAAGGGGAAUUGUACUUACCGUAACAAAUUGAUGGGAGAUUUGCUGUGAAUUAACAAGAUAUUCUCCUUUGUUAGUUCUGUCGGAAUGACUAAAAAUUGUACUCGUGUUAGCAGGAACGAGCGGCGGGGACAUAGGACUUGGGAGACGAGAGGAGAAGAAGAUGAGGGGAGGGGAAAGGGCCUCAAAUCAGUUUCUACGCCUCAUGUGCUGAUUGUUUGAGCUUUAUCUUUUCUGAUGGAUUGGACCCUACUUGGGUUGGGGCCCCAAAAAAUUUAGAGCCCUGUGCGGUGGCACCUCUUGCACUUGCUCAGAGUCGGCCCUGGCGAUGAGGAAGAACAUCUGAUUCUCCUUGCUAGCACGAUGAAACUGAGACAAAUGUGUCAAUUUAACAGGCCAAAAGAAAGAUACACCUGAUAGUCAGUGUAAUUAUGUUGUUCACAAAUACCAAGAAGUGUUUAUGCAUCCAUGAUUCUCCUUAACGAUGCAUUAUAUCUCAGGAGCCUUCCAAUACAGAACAAUUCUCGACCAUUCUGUAAUCGUGGAACUGCUCAAUGGCAUACAUCUCGUUACCAGCAUCGGUUGCACCGAAUUAAGAUUCGAGCGCCUCCCAUAAGUCCUUGCAACCUGCAUAUGUAAAUAUGCAUCAAUCAGCUUACCUCCGAUCACACUUAGAACUGCUCCGAAGGUAAACUUAUCCGGUUUCAGCGCAGCAGCAAAGCUAUGGAUCAAAAAUUGCCUACACAUAUUAGGUUUUUGGAUUGUUGAGUAUAUUAACAAUUUUUUGGUUAAUUUAAUCCACGAAUAAAUCAUGAACAUGGCAUUGACAGAAUUAAUAACAUACUGAUUAUGAUCUAGAUAAGCACAUACUACGUAUAUAGUAGAAAUAUGAUGUAGGGUAGAACCCUAUAAGGCCGAUCUUUCACGAAAGGAGCGGAUCCCAACGAAGAACACGAGGGAAAACACAAGAGAAUCACUCAAACCAACAAGAAUAAGUCACACAUAUGCUAGAUCCUCGAAUCACAAAGAGAUACAAGAUCCACAAUCAACAAGGGACGAUACAAAGGGUAACCGGUUCUUCUCCGUGAGGAGGUCUUGAUGGGGCCACCCAAGAGGGGGUCUUGAAUCCAAGGGGAUCUUCUCCGAAGAGGGGCUGCGGUCUCUCUCGAGGAGUAGAUCCGUAUGGAUGAGCAAAGCUCUAUCUCAAGUAUGAGCUAAACCAAUGCUAACCCUAGAAAGAUGGAGGAGAAGGAGUAUAUAUAGUCUAGGGGAGCGAAGGGGUACAUGGGCCUCGGCCCUUUACUGUGCGCGGACAGGGGGCCGGAUGUCCGGGCCUUCAGGAGGAGCCGGAUGUCCGGGCUUUGGGCCGGAUGUCCGGGCUGGCGUGGUCGGCCUCGGUGCUCUCUGGAUAGACGGGGUCCGGAUGUCCGGCGGCUCGGGACGGGCCGGAUGUCCGGGCCUUCGGCCAGGUGUCCGGGCUGGAGUGCCAUUUCUUCUGUCCUCUGGAUAGGCCUGUUCGGAUGUCUGAGGGGGAGGCCGGAUUUCUGGGUCGGAGGCCGGAUGUCCGGGCCCUGUAGACUUGGCUGCUGGCUUCUUGCUGCUGGUAACACUUCCAGGGGCCGGAUGUCCGGGGUCUUGGCCGGAUGUCCGGGGCCUGGGAGGUGUUCUUGCCUCUUUCCGUUGGUUCUCUUCAUCCAUGGACUUGGCGACUUGUCCGUCUUCAUGUGCAUCUCCGAUAGGGUCUUCUAGGUACCUGAGCACGCAUAGCAUUUUCAUUUGAGGUAGUAGCCAUGUCUCGAGUGGAUCAUAUGUGAUAUCACUAAGGAAGGAAGUCACCUUGGUCUCGAGAGCUCUAGCUCGUGCUCGUGUCAUGGGUCCUCUUGGCACUUGAUGAGACGAUGGUAGGUCCAUGGGGAUGACCAUAGGAUGCUCCACAUCAUCUCCCCUCCCUUGGGAAAGAUCCAACCUCGGAUCAAAAUCCUCAUCACCAUGGUAUGGAGAGAGAUCUUUGACGUUGAAGAUGUCGCUCACGGAGUACUUGUCGCGUGGGAUGUCGAUCUUGUAAGCGUUGUUGUUGUAGCGUGCAAGCUCCUUGAAGGGUCCAUCGGCUCGUGGUAUAAGUUUGGACUUGCGUUCUUGGGGGAAGCGUUCCUUGCGAAGGUGUAGCCACGCAAGAUCUCCAACGUUGGAUAUCAUGGGUUGCUUGUUGACGUUGAGCUUGGUCGCGAGUCGUUGUACUUGGCGCUCGAUGGUGUGCCUUGUUUCUUCAUGCAUCUUCUUGAGGUAGUUCACUCGUGCACUCGCGUCCAUGUUGAUGUGCUCUUGUAGUGGUAGAGGAAGAAUGUCCAAUGGGGACAACAGGUUGAAGCCGUAGACGACCGCGAAAGGGGACUUGCCGGUAGUCGAAUGUCUUGCGCGGUUGUAGGCGUACUCGGCGAUGGGUAGACACUCCUCCCACUCCUUGAUGUUCUUCUUGAUUAGCACGCGUAGGAGAGUGGAGAGCGUACGGUUGGUCACCUCCGUUUGCCCGUCGUUUUGUGGAUGGUAUGCCGAAGAGAACAAAAGCUUGAUUCCGAGCUUGGCGCAUAAGGUCUUCCAAAACUAGCUUAAGAACUUGACGUCGCGGUCCGAGACAAUCGUCUUUGGCACUCCAUGUAGGUGCAAGAUUUCCCUACAAAAGAGAUUGGCAACAUGUGAAGCAUCGUCUACCUGGUUGCAUGGUAUGAAAUGUGCCAUUUUGGAGAAUCGGUCCACAACAACAAACAUGGAAUCCUUUCCAUUUCUAGAUCUAGGCAAACCAAGCACAAAAUCCAUGCUAAUAUCUUCCCAUGGUUGAUAUGGAAUUGGGAGAGGCAUGUAAAGGCCAUGAGAUUGAGCUUUUGGCUUAGGUUUGCGACAUGUCGAACAUCGGUUGGUGAAGCGUGAGACGUCACGGAACAUCUUGGGCCAAUAAUAGUUCUUGGAGAGCGUAGCGAAUGUCUUGUCUCGUCCAAAGUGUCCCAUUAGUCCUCCUCCAUGAGAUUCUUGCAAAAGUAACAAACGAAGAGAAGACUCGGGAAUACAUAGGUUGUUAGCUCUCAUAAGAUAAUCAUCUUUGAUGUAAUAGCGUUCCCAAGAUGUAUGCGUCAAACACUUGGCAUAAGGAAUUGCAAAAGUAGGAUCAUGCGCAUACAAGUCUUUUAUGUGCUCAAAGCCAAUGACAUUUAACUCAAGUUUAGUAACAAGCAUGCAUAUGCGGGAAAGUGCAUCCGCCACAACAUUUUCUUUGCCUUUUAUGUAUUUGAUGACAUAAGGAAAAGACUCUAUAAAUUCACUCUAUUUAGCAUGACGCUUGUUCAGUUUGACCCUUAAGGUACUUAAGUGUUUCAUGAUUGGUAUGAAUGAUGAAUUCAUGAGGGCGAAGGUAAUGUUCCCAUUCACGCAAAACUCACACUAAAGCAUAUAGCUCUUUGUCAUAGAUGGGAUAAUUGAGUUGCGCUCCGGAGAGUUUCUCACUAAAGUAUGCUAUGGGGCGCUUCUCUUGCGUUAACACACCUCCUAUGCCAUUACCACUAGCAUCACAACGAAUUUCAAAGGGUUUGUUAAAGUUGGGUAAUGCGAGCACGGGAGCAUGACUAAGCAAAUUCUUAAGUUCAUGGAAUGCGGUAUCUUGGGAUGGUCCCCAAACAAAAGGCGCAUUCUUCUUGCUCAAAGCAUGCAAAGGUGAAGCAAUGGUGCUAAAAUCCUUCACAAAUCUACGAUAGAAACCGGCUAGACCAAGAAAACUACGCACUUGUUGCAAAUUGGUUGGUUGGGGCCAAGUUUUAAUAGCAUUGAUCUUGGAUUCAUCUACAUGAACACCCUUAGAAGACACAACGAAACCCAAGAAAACAAGCUUAUCAACACCAAAAGUGCACUUCUUCAUAUUAGCAUAAAGACGCUCUUUCCUAAGGGUUUGUAGCACGGUCCUAAGAUGGGUGACAUGCUCUUUGAGGGAUUUGCUAAACACAAGAAUAUCAUCAAAGUAGACCACAACAAAUACACCAAUAUAGGGUCAAAAAACAAAGUGCAUGAGUCGCAUGAAAGUACCGGGUGCUUCGGAUAAACCCAUGGGCAUAACAAGCCACUCAUAUAGGCCAAAUUUAGUUUUGAAAGCGGUUUUCCAUUCAUCACCUUCUUGUAUGCGUAUUUGAGAGUAGCCACUUUUGAGAUCAAUUUUUGAGAAGAUAGUGGCACCGCUAAGCUAAUCUAGCAUAUCGUCAAGGCGAGGUAUGGGAUGCCUAUAUCUAACUGUGAUAGCAUUGAUGGGUAUACAAUCGGAACGCAUGCGAAAACUACCAUCUUGUUUAGGCACAAGUAUAACCGGAAUGGCACAAGGGCUUAAGCUUUCACGUACAUGGCCGUUGUCGAGGAGUUGUUGUACUUGCCGUUGGAUCUCCUUAGUUUCUUCGGGGUUGACGCGGUAGGGAGCUUUGUUAGGAGUGGUGCUCCGGGUAUGAGGUCGAUUCGAUUCUCAAUGCCACGUAGAGGAGGGAGACCGGGAGGUAGCUCAUCGGGAAAGACAUCCUCGAAUUCCUGCAACAAGUUAGAAAACACUAGAGGUAGUGGAUUAGGAGUGUUAGUCUUUGCCACUUCAUCUUUGCAUAGUACGACAUAGUGGAUGACACUCGAUGGGUUCUCACACACUUCUCUCAUCUCUCUUUUUGUGGCUAGGAGGACUAAGUUUUUCUCCCUUGGCGAAGAGUCGCUCAAUUUGCGCUUGUGGCGCUCACUUUCUUUUUGGUGGUUCACUCUCUCACUAGUAUCUCCAUGAUGGGUGGAAGCUUUCUUGUCGGUGAUCACUUGGCUGGGAGACAUAGGUCGUAGAACGUACUCCUUUCCUUUCAUCUUGAAGCUAUAGUGAUUGGUACGUCCGUUGUGGAUGACGCCUCGGUCGAAUUGCCAUGGCCGUCCAAGGAGGAGGUGGCAAACGGACAUAAGCGCCGAUCUUGAAGGAGACGUUGACCGUAUGCUCGACUUGGGUUGUGCCGGAGUCGCUUAGCCAUUGAACCUUGUAGGGGUGCGGGUGCUUUGUCUUGACCAAUUGAAGCUUGGAGCACUUCACUUGCCAAGUUAUGACAACUCCCUCCGUCGAUGAUGACCUUGACGGACCUUCCAUUUAUGCUGGCCUUGGUGUGGAAGAUAUGGCAUCUUUGUUCUUAAUCUUAUUGAUGUUGAAGAUUCAAGACCUUGGAGACAACAAGAGCGGGGCUUGAAUCCUCAUCACAAAAGACUUGAUCAUCUUCGUCUUCGUUGACGCGCCGGUGCAUGGCCACUUGCUCAAUGGCUUCCAUUUCCUCUUCACUCAUGGAGUCAUAGGUUCCGUCGUCAUUGAGGAUCAUGGUGCGCUUGUUGGUACACUCAUAGGACUUGUGGCCUCGGCCGCCGCAUGUGAAGCAUUUGAAGGAACUUGUCUUGAUGGUCUCAUCGGUCGGAGUGGAUGAAGAAGCUCUUGGUUUGAAGUUGCUUGUAGUAGGAAGACGACUUGAAGUUGUUGAAGUUUUCUUGUAACUUGACUUGUCGUCGUUGCUUAAAGGCUUGGUUGAGGUAGAAGUUGUUGGAGUCGUUGAAGCUUGAUUGUUGUAGCCGAAUGUCUUGGAAGAGAACUUGGCGUAUUUGAAGUCAUCUUGCACUUGUCGCUCCGCCUUGGUAGCUUGAUGCACUAGCUCUAUGAGGUUCGAGUAUGGUUGGAAGUCGGUGAUCUUCUUGAUAGGAUGAUUGAGUCCAUUCAAGAAACGUGCCAUAGUUUGCUCAUCAUCUUCCGUGACAUUGGCUCGUAUCAUGGCAAUUUCCAUUUCCUUGUAGUAUUCUUCAACGCUCUUGGUUCCUUGCUUGAGGAGUUGGAGUUUCUUGAAGAGGUUGCGGUUGUAGUAGGUUGGCACGAAACGUGCUCUCAUGACAUCCUUCAUUUGCGCCCAAGUGGUGAUGGGUGGUUCACCUCUUGCCUCACGGCGCUCAAGGACUUGUUCCCACCAAAUGAGGACGUAGUCUUGAAAUUCAAGGGAUGCCAUCACGAUCUUCUUCUCUUCUUCAUAGUUGUGCAAGCGGAAGAUUUUGUCAACCUUCAAUGCCCAUGAAAGAUACUCUUCGGGAUCAUUGCUUCUGGAAAACUUGGGCAUGGUGAACUUUAGCUUGAUGUAUCGUUGCUCUUCAUUGUGUUGGGGCCGAGGAUGAUGACGCCCUUGACGUGGAGGGUAGGCAACCUCAUGUUGCUCUUGGCGUGAAGGUUCUCCAUAGUAAUCAUUCUCUUGGUAAACUUGAGGUUCUUGUCAAGCUUGUGGAGGUUCUUGUCGAGCUUGUGGAGGUUCUUGUCGAGCUUGUGGAGGAGCUUGUUGCUACCUCUUGAGCAUGCAUUGGUUUUCCCCUGAAGAGGAAAGGGUGAUGCAGCAAAGUAGUGUAAGUAUUUCCCUCAGUUUUUAAGAACCAAGGUAUCAAUCCAGUAGGAGGCUACACGCAAAUCCCUCGUACCUGCACAAACAAAUAAGAACCUUGCAACCAACACGAUAAAGGGGUUGUCAAUCCCUUCACGGCCACUUGCAAAAGUGAGAUCUGAUAGAAAUAAUAAGAUAAAUAUUUUUGGUAUUUUUGUUGUAUAGAUUGAAAAGUAAAGAUUGCAAAAUAAAAUAGAUCGGAAACUUAUAUGAUGGAAGAUAGACCCGGGAGACAUAGGUUUCACUAGUGGCUUCUCUCAAGAUAGCAUAAGUAUUACGGUGGGUGAACAAAUUAUUGUCGAGCAAUUGAUAGAAAAUUGCAUAGUUAUGAGAAUAUCUAGGCAUGAUCAUGUAUAUAGGCAUCAUGUCCGUGACAAGUAGACUGAAACGAUUCUGCAUCUACUACUAUUACUCCAUACAUCUACCGCUAUCCAGCAUGCAUCUAGAGUAUUAAGUUCAUAAGAACAGAGUAACGCAUUAGGCAAGAUGACAUGAUGUGGAGGGAUAAACUCAAGCAAUAUGAUAUAAACCCCAUCUUUUUAUCCUCGAUGGCAACAAUACAAUAUGUAUCGGUUCCCCUUCUGUCACUGGGAUCGAACACCGCAAGAUUGGACCCAAAGCUAAGCACUUCUCCCAUUGCAAGAAAGAUCAAUCUAGUAGGCCAAACCAAACUGAUAAUUCGAAGAGACUUGCAAAGAUAACAAAUCAUACAUAAAAGAAUUCAGAGGAGAUUCAAAUAUUGUUCAUAGAUAAUCUUGAUCAUAAACCCAUAAUUCAUCGGAUCUCGACAAACACACCGCAAAAAGAAUUACAUCGAAUUGAUCUCCAAGAAGAUCGAGGAGAACUUUGUAUUGACAUCCAAAGAGAGAGAAGAAGCCAUCUAGCUAAUAAUUAUGGACCCGGAGGUCUGAGGUAAACUACUCACACAUCAUCGGAGAGGCUAUGGUGUUGAUGUAGAAGCCCUCCGUGAUCGAUUCCCCCUCUGGCGGAGCGCCGAAAAAGGCCCCAAGAUGGGAUCUCACGGGUACAGAAGGUUGCGGCGGUAGAAAUAGGGUUUUGUGGUGCUCUAGGAUGUUUUCAGGGUAUAUGAGUAUACAUGGGCGAAGGAAGUCGGUUAGGGGAGCCACGAGGGGCCCACGAGGGUGGGGGCGCGCCCAGGGGGGCAGGCGCGCCUCCCUGCCUUGUGGCAUCCUCGCUUCUUUCUUGACGUCCACUCCAAGUCCCCUGGAUUGCCUUUGUUCCAAAAAUAAAUCUCCCAGAGGUUUCAUUCCGUUUGGAUUCCGUUUGAUAUUACUUUUCUACGAAACACUGAAAUAGGCAAAAAACAGCAAUUUGGGCUGGGCCUCCGGUUAGUAGCUUAGUCCAAAAAAUAAUAUAAAAGUGUAUAAUAAAGCCCAUUAAACAUCCAAAACAGAUAAUAUAAUAGCAUGGAACAAUCAAAAAUUAUAGAUACGUUGGAGACGUAUCAAGCAUCCCCAAGUUUAAUUCAUACUCGUCCUCGAGUAGGUAAAUGAUAAAAACAGAAUUUUUUAUGUGGAAUGCUACCUAGCAUAUCUUCUAAGUAAUUUUCUUUAUUGUGGCAUGAAUGUUUAGAUCUGAAAGAUUCAAGAUAAAAGUUUAAUAUUGACAUAAAAAUAAUAAUACUUCAAGCAUACUAACAAAGCAAUCAUGUCUUCUAAAAAUAACAUGGCCAAAGAAAGUUAUCCCUACAAAAUCAUAUAGUCUGGCUAUGCUCUAUCUUCAUCACACAAAAUAUUUAAAUCACGCACAACCCCGAUUUCAGCCAAGCAAUUGUUUCAUACUUUAGUAUUCUCAAACUUUUUCAACUUUCACGCAAUACAUGAGCAUGAGCCAUGGACAUAGCACUAUAUGUGGAAUAGAAUGGUGGUUGUGGACAAGACAAAAAAAAUAUAAUUUCACAUCAACUAGGCGUAUCGACGGGCUAUGGAGAUGCCCAUCAAUAGAUAUCAAUGUUAGUGAGUAGGGAUUUCCAUGCAACGGAUGCACUAGAGCUAUAAGUGUAUGAAAGCUCAACAAAAGAAACUAAGUGGGUGUGCAUCCAACUUUCUUGCUCACGAAGACCUAGGGCAAUUUUGAGGAAGCCCAUCAUUGGAAUAUACAAGCCAAGUUCUAUAAUGAAAAAUUCCCACUAGUAUAUGAAAGUGGCAAAAUAAGAGACUCUCUAUCAUGAAGAUCAUGGUGCUACUUUGAAGCACAAGUGUGGUAAAAGGAUAGUAGCAUUGCCCCUUCUCUCUUUUUCUCUCAUUUUUUUUAUUUGGGCCUUUCUCAUCAUCAUUCAUUUUUUAUGGCCUCUUAUUUUAUUUUAUUUUUCGUCCGGAGUCUCAUCCCGACUUGUGGGGGAGUGAUGACCCACAAUUAUAGGGGAUCUAUCAUAGUCCUUUCGAUAAGUAAGAGUGUCGAACCCAACGAGGAGCAGAAGGAAAUGAUAAGCGGUUUUCAGCAAGGUAUUCUCUGCAAACACUGAAAUAAUAGGUAACAGAUAGUUUUGUGAUAAGAUAAUUUGUAACGAGCGACAAGUAACAAAAGUAAAUAAAGUGCAGCAAGGUGGCCCAAUCCUUUUUGUAGCAAAGGACAAGCCUGGACAAACUCUUAUAUAGAGAAAAGCGCUCCCGAGGACACAUGGGAAUUAUCGUCAAGCUAGUUUUCAUCAUGUUCAUAUGAUUCGCGUUCGGUACUUUGAUAAUUUGAUAUGUGGGUGGACCGGUGCUUGGGUGCUGUCCUUACUUGGACAAGCAUCCCACUUAUGAUUAACCCCUAUUGCAAGCAUCCGCAACUACAAAAGAAGUAUUAAGGUAAACCUAACCAUAGCAUGAAACAUAUGGAUCCAAAUCAGCCCCUUACGAAGCAACGCAUAAACUAGGGUUUAAGCUUCUGUCACUCUAGCAACCCAUCAUCUACUUAUUACUUCACAAUGCCUUCCUCUAGGCCCAAAUAAUGGUGAAGUGUCAUGUAGUCGACGUUCACAUAACACCACUAGAGGAUAGACAACAUACAUCUCAUCAAAAUAUUGAACGAAUACCAAAUUCACAUGACUACUAAUAGCAAGACUUCUCCCAUGUCCUCAGGAACAAACGUAACUACUCACAAAGCAUAUUCAUGUUCAUAAUCAGAGGAGUAUUAAUAUGCAUAUAGGAUCUGAACAUAUGAUCUUCCACCAAAUAAACCAACUAGCAUCAACUACAAGGAGUAAUCAACACUACUAGCAACCUAUAGGUACCAAUCCCAGACUUAGAGACAAGAAUUGGAUACAAGAGAUGAACUAGCGUUUGAGAGGAGAUGGUGCUGGUGAAGAUGUGGAUGGAGAUUGCCCUCUCCCGAUGAGAUUGCCCUUUCCCGAUGACUGGCGAGAGGUAGGCGGGAAUUGGGGCAGUGGAUUGAAGUGGUGCUUGUCAGGGGCUGGAUGUCCGGGUUGGCCGGAUGUCCGAGCUGUCGGGCCGGAUGUCCGGGCUCUGGAUCUGUGGACGAACUCGAUGAACUCCGCAUGGAGAGGUCAAAUCCGGGGCAAAUUUCGGGCGAUUUUGUGGAUGGAAAUUGGGGAAAAGAUGGGGAAAAGCUAGAUCUACCUGCAACACACGAAAUCCGCGGAUCAAAUCCAACAAAACUUCAUCACACCAACAAAUCACAAAAAAAUUGGGGGGCUAUUUUUGUGGGGAAUUUUCGAAUUAGGGACAAAAUCAACAAAACAAGGCUAGCAAACAAAGGGGGGAGGCUCCGAAAUCGUGAUCAACGUGGCUCAUGAUACCAAGAUGAUGUAGGGUAGAACCCUAUAAGGCCGAUCUUUCACGAAAGGAGCGGAUCCCAACGAAGAACACGAGGGAAAACACAAGAGAAUCACUCAAACCAACAAGAAUAAGUCACACAUAUGCUAGAUCCUCGAAUCACAAAGAGAUACAAGAUCCACGAUCAACAAGGGACGAUACAAAGGGUAACCGGUUCUUCUCCGUGAGGAGGUCUUGAUGGGGCCACCCAAGAGGGGGUCUUUAAUCCAAGGGGAUCUUCUCCGAAGAGGGGCCGCGGUCUCUCUCGAGGAGUAGAUCCGUAUGGAUGAGCAAAGCUCUAUCUCAAGUAUGAGCUAAACCAAUGCUAACCCUAGAAAGAUGGAGGAGAAGGAGUAUAUAUAGUCUAGGGGGCGAAGGGGUACAUGGGCCUCGGCCCUUCACUGUGCGCAGACAGGGGGCCGGAUGUCCGGGCCUUUAGGAGGAGCCGGAUGUCCGGGCUGGCGUGGUCGGCCUCGGUGCUCUCUGGAUAGACAGGGUCCGGAUGUCCAGAUGGUGGGCCGGAUGUCCGGCGGCUCGGGACGGGCCGGAUGUCCGGGCCUUCGGCCGGGUGUCCGGGCUGGAGUGCCAUUUCUUCUGUCCUCUGGAUAGGCUUGUCCGGAUGUCCGAGGGGGAGGCCGGAUUUCCAGGUCAGAGUCCGGAUGUCCGGGCUGGUCGCCGGAUGUCCAGGCCCUGUAGACUUGGCCGCUGGCUUCUUGCUGCUGGUAACACUUCCAGGGGCCGGAUGUCCGGGGUCUGGGAGGUGUUCUUGCCUCUUUCUGUUGGUUCUCUUCAUCCAUGGUCUUGGCGACUUGUCUGUCUUCAUGUGCAUCUCCGAGAGGGUCUUCUAGGUACCUGAGCACGCAUAGCAUUUCCGUUUGAGGUAGUAGCCAUGUCUCGAGUGGAUCAUAUGUGAUAUCAAUAAGGAAGGAAGUCACCUCGAUCUCGAGAGCUCUAGCUCGUGCUCGUGUCAUGGGUUUUCUUGGCACUUGAUGAGACGAUGGUAGGUCCAUGGGGAUGAUGCUCCGCAUCAAAAUAUCUAUGCACAUACCUAGUACUGCUAAAACAGAAAUAAACAAGAGCGGGAUAAACGAGUUAUACCCUCCAGUAGGCCAGUUGGCCAUAGCAGCGGUGGCAACGGCAGCAGCCUCCUCAACCACCUUCUUGUUAGCAGUGGCCUUCUCGGCAGAGAAUCACUCAGCUUCGUUGGACAUGAUGAUGACGAAGACGAUGCAGACGUAACGAUGCAGUGGACAUAAACGAACGGCGGCGAGCAGUCGCGUAGGAGACGCUCCCCAAAAAUUCAAUCGCCCCUCUCUCGUACAGGAUCCGGAGAGGCGCAGUUUCGGAGGCCUGCUCUCCCGUCAACCAUGUACACGGUGGGCUGGACGGGAUCACCGGCGGUAACAUCAGCAAAAGAGACGACAUAGGGCGGUGCACGUGAAAGCAGAGUGGAUGUGAUCUGUUCUUCGUGGCAGCUAUGGCUCAGUUAUAUAGGUGUGGCUAUGAUGGAGAGACGUGGGCUGGACCCAUGUCCGAGUCGGUAACAGCCCACGAUCCGACAUCUCAGAUCGUGGCCCAUCUGUUAAGGAGUCCUCCAUUUUUGAUCGGCAAAAACCAAGUGCAUAGGUGUGAGCUCGGCUCAAUCCCACAAAUCGCGACGCACACGCGUCGUCGGCGAAGGAGCACGCGGGAACCACUUUUUUCUCAAGAUUCAAUAGCAUGUGAAAGAGAAUCCCUUAUAAGGAGAUCCAACUCGUCUUCCACUAGCAGGAUGAGACUAAACUUCCCACCACCUCCCUUAUCACCACACGUAUAUGGGCCCUUAAAACGUUUUUGUAAUUGUUAGAUGAACCCAAGACACACCCUAUAUUUCAGAAGAUCUGAAGAGUACAAAACGCAAGGUAAAGCCGCCAUUUUUUUUUUUGCUAAAAAAAGGUAAAGCCACCUCAUGUUGUAAGACGAAGAAAUGUUCGGAGUCUACAGACAUGUUCGCGUCUUCUUGAGACCGGAACCGUUGUUGAAUGACGGCCAAAGUAGGAGGAACACGUGUUUUAUGUUGCGGAGAAACAAAACAGAGAAAAUUUUAACAUGCUCCUUUCUUUUUACAUGCAUGCGAGGUACUAAGUAUGUAAGAGUUAACCAGGCCACCAAUUAAUAAGAUCAAAGGCUCAGAUCUAAUAUAUAUACUCUUAUCCCUCGUGUGAAAAGAAGAGGUAAGAAGGAGCGUGUUAAAACUGCUCGAGUAAGAAGUCGUGCCGUCGACGAAAAACAUGCUUCCCACCUUGACUGUUCAUCUCUACUACUAGAAAAUAGUAUAAGAAUUUGUCCAUAAAAGAGAAAACAUAUAUGAUGUGAUAAGGGAUGUGAUAAGGGAGGCUAAUAAGAAGAAAAAUAGAUCUGCUGAACCUACUCAUCCUGUGUGGCACACCCACGCAAAACAGCCUCUCUGAAUCAUCCGUCCAUUUGCCUGCCUGCACUGCACCGCACAUGGCAUGUCGCCGCAGUAGUGAUUUGCACGGCGACGGCGAUGGCAACGAGGAACGGCAGCAGCACCUUUCACCGCGAGCAGUUCCAUCAGGCCCCGGUGCAGUGCAGUGCCCCUCUACCUGCCUUGGCUUGGUCUUGCAGUUGCAGGAGGAGGAGCCAGAUGCAGAUGGCCUGCCAAGUUGCCUGCCCCAUUUCGGCAGCAUGCAUUGCAUGCAUCCCCUCCCUGCCAAGUGGCGACGUCUCCACCGGAGCCAGAUCCAACUUUGCUCAUCAAUCAAUCAUAUUCAUACCAGAUGCAAAUCUUCUCUUGCCCUCUGCUCAUGACGGUGAUGCUCAAGGCAAUCAGCCCAGGAAAAGCAAGAUCAAUUUCGCUCCGUCGAUCGCGGUAUUGUCGAAUUAGGGAUUAUUGCCGCCUAAUCUCUUUUCACAACUUAUUUUCAUUUGUUCCUGCUAAACUUUCUUACGUUCACUUCCUUCAAUGCUACAGUGUUAGCAUUUCACUUCGUCUGAAAUUAAACUGGGCAGUUCAGUUAGUUACUCAUCACUGCUCAUCAGAGUGAUUGAAGCCUUUCUAUUAUGGGAAUGCUGGCAGCAUUGCUGGCCCAUCUGUCUGCCCUUCCCGACGAAUGUCUCCGUUCUAGUUUCUCACAGUGCAUUGCCAAUCCAAAUUGUGCACUGAACCACAACAACAGCUUGUCUGCAUCACAAAGCUCACCAACUUUCUUUUACUACCAUCUGAUGAAUCCUCCUGGAUGCAUGCAUGCAUGCACAAGGUUCAUCAGUCUGACACUGUAACUGUUUCUCUGGCAGUGUGGCUAUUUAUUGCGGCCAUUCUUGGCUUCCUUUUAAGCCUCUCAUCUCAUCUUGGGGUUCAGAAAGAAGAAAAAGAUGGUGCUCUUUUUUCCGCCUGCGUAGAAACUUUGCUCUUGCGGACACUGCCGGCCGAAAUUAAGUUCAUGCGAGGAACUUACUGGAUAAGGGUCUGCGAAGUACAGAUGUAAGGCUCAACUGUUAAAAGUCACCUCAGAUUGAUUGUCAGGAUGAAGAAAUGUUGCUAUAUGUUUGUGCUUCCGUGAGACUGAAGCCGUUGUCAAACCACAGCAAAAGUAACAGGAACACAUGUUUUAUGCCAAGAAGAUCAUCCGGGAAAGGUGUGCCAUUACUUGUUGGAUGUUACAGUCCUGCAGCUUCAGACUAAACUAAAUAGCACUGUGGCUACUUAAUUUAGUCUGAAACGGGAUGUCCUUGGCAAUUCAUUUAGUUAGUUAGUUAGUUAAAGAUCAUGAUCAUCGUUGUUCAUCACAGUGUUACCAUACUUUUAUUUUUUGGAAAAGGAGGUUAAACCCGGCUUCUGCAUCAAUCAAUGCCUGCAGCCAUCUUUAUGAAUUAUUCAACAAAGGUCUAACAAGAACAUACAUCAAUCCACCUGAAGCCACCACUCACACCUACAAACUUGAUAAUGUGGGGUGCUCUCACUUUCCAAAUCUAAAACCAGUGUCGUCGCCGAUCCAUCCACAUAACACAUCGGAACCAACAGCCGGUGCAGCAAACGUAAAGCGCACACCACAUUCACACGUUUUAGAAGCCGCCAUCAUCAUCGUACCACUGACUCAUCUUCAGAAGAGAGAUCCGCAUCAUCCUUGCCACUCCGGACAUCCGUCGACGCCACCACGGCGUCCAACGGCGCCACCGCCCUGUGCUCGUCCAUCCAGAUGCGAUGACUCAGCGUAGCACCUGUUGACCAGGCAUGACUUGACAGCUCCAAGCUUCGUGCAAGACGAAGACACUCCACCUCCUGCCUCUGUCUUCCAGCGCUGCUCCACAAACGAUGCUCCCAAGAGAGAAACGGCACCGUAGUACCGCCAUCACCCGAUCUGGGAGACCAGAUCCUAGGGUUUCCUCCGAAGCAGCAUGAGUGGAUCAACAACAGUUACACGACGAUGUCUUCAUCAAGGUAACGGCGCAAAACGCCGUCAUCGCCCGCCAUCGGCUCGGUUUUCAUCGGCAACUAUGUCUCCCCAACUCACGGCUGGGACUAGAUGACGGAUCUUGAGAUCCGACCACCCAGCCUCAGGCCGACCACCUCUGGCGAAGGACGUGGCCACCACCGCCACGCGCAGGGCCGGAGACCCCGACGUCCUCGUGUUGCAGGUCGAGCCCAGUGGCAGCAUGUCGUUGACGGAAUAGGGAUGGUACAUGACAGCAGCAUGUGCGGCCCGCCGAAACCAUUACUGCCUCCUGCUUGCCUGCCUACCCAACUGUCUGUUCUUCCUGAUGAGUGAUGUGCUCUGCCUCCCUUCUGGUCUCUCACAUUGCCUGGCCAUCUCAUCUGACUCAGAUCCUGGUCGCCGCAGCGUUGCCAGCAGCACAGUGCACCACAACACCACCACCAUGUCUGCAUCAGAAAGUUCACCAACUUUCUUUUUCUAUCUCUGAAUCCUCCUGGAUGCAUGCACAAGGCUCGUCGGUAUGACACUGUAACUGUUUCUGUUAUUUUCAGAGAAUUGGUUUCUUUCAAGGCUAUCAUCUCUUCCUCUCUUCUCUGGGUUCACAAAGAAGAAAAAGAUGGGAGGUGUGCCUUUUUCUGCUGUGUGAAAAUUCUGCUUUUCUCGACGGUCAAGACUAUACUGCCGCCGAAAAUCAUGCGAUAAACUUACCGGCUAAGGGUCUGUCUGACAAGUAUCAGACGCAAGUUAAGCUGUUAAAAGUCACCUCAGAUUGAUUCUCAAGAUGAAGGAAUGUUCGGCACGGAGUUUGUUUACCGGUAUGUCUGUCUUUGUUUCCGCAGUUUGUGAAUGACAAGAAAAAAAAAAGUAUCAGAACCACAUGUUUCUCCCAUAGUAACAGCAGCACAGCGAUGAUGCCAAAGAGACAUUUGUCUCAUCGCCGCUUCGUUCAUGCCGGGCGCCAACGACGAUGAGGCCCGACCAUCCCGCGCCGGCCGCCAGUAAAGGAUAUUUAGUUGUUUCUCAAAGUUGUUUUAAGGUUCUUUUGCUACGUACGUAAAAAUUGAUUCAGAAAUGAAUGAAAAAUCGGUGUUCGUUUUAUUUGCUGACUCCGGUUGGAUUUUCAACGUCUCCACCACCCGAGAGCCAGAUCCAACUUUGCUCAAUCAGUCGUGCCACUCGUUCUUCCCCGAUUCGUUGCUGCCGAUGCUGCUGGACGAAAUGAGCAAAGGAAAUCAGUUUAGUUUCGCCAAACGUCAAUCAUCUCUCUCUCUCUCUUUCUUCUCUGAUUUGCUGCUGCUGCUGUUGAUGAUGCUCAAGGAAACCAGUCCAGGAACCAGCGAGACGAUCAGCCUAAUCUCUUUCCAAAACUUCUUUUGUUCCUGCUGAACUCAACCUGAAUCUUUUCGGCAAAAAAACUCAACCUGAAUUAAUCCUCCUGGAUGCAUGCGCAAGGUUCAUCAUUCUGACACUGUAACUGUUUCUGUCAUUUUUUGGAGAAUUGGUUCCUUUCAAGGCUCUCAUCUCUGGGUUCAGAAACAAGAAAAAGGAUGGUGUGCUUUUUUUCUGCCUUGUGGAAAUUCUGCUUUUGUCGACGGCGCAAAUCAGCCGCCAAGACUAACUGCCGCCGAAAUCCACGCGAGCAACUUACCGGGUAAGGGUCUGAAAAGUACAGACGCAAGGUAAACUGUCAAAAAUCACGUCAGAUUGUCAAGAUGAAGAAAUGUUCUGCACGGAGUUUACCCGCAUGUCUGUUUCCACAGUUUGUGAAUGACAAGAAAAAAAAGAAGAAGUAACAGAAGCACAUGUUUUCGCAGACAUUUGAUGCCGUCCAUUUGGUGAUGCGCGUUAGUUAGUUAGAGAUCAUAAUCAUCAUGUUCAUCAGAGUGAUCCAGGCCUUUCUAUUCCAGGAAUGCUACCAGCAGUACUGACUCAUCUGUCCUUCCUGAUGAGUUCUGGUUUAUCCCAGAUCCUGGUCACUACAGCGUCGCCAGAUGUGCAGUGCAGCACAACACUACCAUGUCUGCAUCACAAAGCUCACCAACUUUCUAUUUCCAUCUCAAUCCUCCUGGAUGCACAUGCUUCAUCGGCCUGACACUUUAACUGUUACUGUUAUUUUUGGAGAGUUGGUUCCUUUUAAGGCUCUCAUCUUUCAGGUUCAGAAAGAAAAAGCUUUUUUUUACUGUGCAGAAAUGUUUACUUUUUGUUGUCAAUGCAAACGUAAAAAACUAACCGCGGCCGGAGUUUAUGCGAUAGACUUACCGGUUACGGGUCUGAGAAGUACAGACGCAAGUUAAACUGUUCAAAGUCACCUCAGAUUGUCAAGAUGAAGAAAUGUUCGGCACGGGGUUUUUACCGAUCUGCCUGCGUCUCCGUGAGGCUGAAGCUGUUGUAAAUGACGGUAAAAGUAACAGAAACCCAUGUUUCAUGGUAAGAAUAUCGUCGUCGACGUAAACCAUGCUUUCCACUUUGAUUGGUCGUGUCUCCAUCAAUAAUUUGGAAAAUAAUGCAUUGCUACAUGAUACAUCAGAAAGAAAAGAAUACAGGUGACAAGGAAAUGCUGCUUGAAGCAGCAGCAACCACAACACCACAUCCAUCCAUCACACCCAGAAGCUUCUAAUGACACACAACAGUGCCUCCCUCCAUCAUGGUCAUGAUCAUCAUCAUGAUCAUCACCAUCAUCAUCAGAGAGCUGAGCUGAGCUGAGUGAGUGGUUUUGUGUUUCUGCACUGCAACUUGCAGAAAAGGUGAGGCAGAAAAGCACAAGCACCCAGCACACAAGUUGGCCAAAAAACAAAACAUUUUGUGCCCAAGUGCUGCCCCCUGUGCUAUUCUCUACUGUUGUCACAGGGAUCUGCCUCAUAUCUGUGGUGGAUGCCCUGCCUUUUCUCAAUGGGGGAAAGAUGAGCAGGGCCAAAAAGGAGAGAGGGAAAGAUUUUGCAAAAGGUUGAUGGAAAGGGGAGGCUGCCAAAGCAUGAGAUGCCAAAGCUAGUGCAAGUCUGACUCAUUUCCAAUUCCGUUGUUUGGUGGAUCCACCAUCAUCAUCAGUAUUAGUAGUAGUAGAGAUCUAUACAAGGGAAGAAUUUCCUAAUUUUUUUAAAGGACUUAAUUUCACACAAACAAUGCAAUGGUCAAUCCACAAGGUUGGAAAAAUUGGAGCAGGUAAAUGCUGGAUGACUCACUGCAAACUCAUUUUGGCUUAUCCAAAAAAAUUACACUCCUAAACAUCGGACGGCGCAAGCACCGAGAUAGGUUAUAUAUGCUUGAAUAAAUAAAUGAAUGAUAGAUGUUGAUAAGUAUGUGUGAGAUGCUGCAUGAGUAAGGUUUCCAAUAACAUGAGCUGACCAGAAAGCAGGAUUCAUGAAGAUUGAAAAUUAAGUCCACUUGACAAUGUACAUGAUCAGUACUGAGCACUAGUAUUCCCUGUCUGUCUCAAGAUACUACAGCAUCAAGUUCUUGCCAUUCUCUUCCCUUACAUUCUCAGUAUCCACACCAGAAAUUAUGGACUACUACCAAAGCAUCACCAGCAUCAUACCCCUCUCUCUCUCUCUCUCUCUCUCUCUCUCUCUCUCUCUCUCUGCUAUGUUCUGAAAAAUCCCCAUAAUCAAUUACUUACUUCAAUAAUAAUACAGGCAGUGAAGCUACAGCAAGGGCCAUAUUACACUAGACAUCUGAUCGGAUGGCGUCGAAAUGGAUCGAACGGUUGCAUCUUCUAAUACAGCAUGCUCCGGUUCGCGGCCAGCUGAUCAUGCAGAGGGCCACACUGCAGGCCUUGAUCUUGCAAACCCAUGCCGUAGCUCGGCGGCGAAUUGUAUGGCGCAUUCGCUCCGCCAUGUUGCUUGGUGUCAGCUGGCAGAGAGAACUGCCCUGUUGUCGCGCUCGGAGCCGGUGCGCUGGACUGGGUGAUCAUGGAUGACUGGGACGGCGAGGGGGGCUGGUCGUCGAGGUGCACCGUGGUGAUGUCGUGGAUGCUCGACCGCCUCUUGUCCUUGCCGCCGCCGGAGCUGAGCCUGAUGAAGUACUUCUGCGCGUGGCUGGCCACCUGCGUCGGCGUCCUCGUCUGCACGAAGUUGCGCGAAAUGUUCCUCCAG